GAUGAACGCUGGCGGCGUGCUUAACACAUGCAAGUCGAACGAAGCACUUUAUUUGAUUUCCUUCGGGACUGAUUAUUUUGUGACUGAGUGGCGGACGGGUGAGUAACGCGUGGGUAACCUGCCUUGUACAGGGGGAUAACAGUUGGAAACGGCUGCUAAUACCGCAUAAGCGCACAGCAUCGCAUGAUGCAGUGUGAAAAACUCCGGUGGUAUAAGAUGGACCCGCGUUGGAUUAGCUAGUUGGUGAGGUAACGGCCCACCAAGGCGACGAUCCAUAGCCGACCUGAUAGGGUGACCGGCCACAUUGGGACUGAGACACGGCCCAAACUCCUACGGGAAGCAGCAGUGGGGAAUAUUGCACAAUGGGCGAAAGCCUGAUGCAGCGACGCCGCGUGAGCGAAGAAGUAUUUCGGUAUGUAAAGCUCUAUCAGCAGGGAAGAUAAUGACGUUACCUGACUAAGAAGCACCGGCUAAAUACGUG
rnacentral:rRNA from 1 species